GUAGUCUCGUCAGCAGCACACACGCUACAACUGGAAGAACACAGAGGUUAGCACGGGCCCUGCACAAGGAUGACACGCAAAAGCGUGAAGCCUUCCAAAUGUUU
ensembl:snRNA U6 U6 spliceosomal RNA